UACGAAGGGGGCUAGCGUUGCUCGGAAUUACUGGGCGUAAAGCGCACGUAGGCGGCUUUCUAAGUCGGGGGUGAAAUCCUGGAGCUCAACUCCAGAACUGCCUUCGAUACUGGAGCUUGAGUCCGGGAGAGGUGAGUGGAACGUGCGAGUGUAGAGGUGAAAUUCGUAGAUAUUCGCAAGAACACCAGUGGCGAAGGCGGCUCACUGGCCCCGGUACUGACGCUGAGG
rnacentral:rRNA from 1 species